GCCAAAUGAUGACACUAUUUUUAAAUUCCCAUGUGCUGUUAAUGGGUUUUUGAAAGAAAAUAACGAUAAUGACAGACUUAUUGGUGUCCACUGUACCCAUGGUUUAAACAGGACUGGCUACCUCAUCUGCAGAUAUUUGAUUGAUGUAGAAGGCAUGUGGCCAGAUGAUGCAAUUGAAUG